UGAGUUUGAUCAUGGCUCAGAACGAACGCUGGCGGCGUGCUUAACACAUGCAAGUCGAACGCGAAAGGGACUUCGGUCCCGAGUAGAGUGGCGCACGGGUGAGUAACGCGUAAGUAAUCUACCCCUGUAUCUGGAAUAACCCACCGAAAGGUGAGCUAAUACCGGAUACGUUUAUCUUGAUGCGAAUGAUGAUAAAGAAAGGUGGCCUCUUCAUGAAAGCUACCGUACAGGGACGAGCUUGCGUACCAUUAGCUGGUUGGUAGGGUAAUGGCCUACCAAGGCGACGAUGGUUAGCGGGUCUGAGAGGAUGAUCCGCCACACUGGAACUGAAACACGGACCAGACUCCUACGGGAGGCAGCAGUGAGGAAUAUUGCGCAAUGGGGGCAACCCUGACGCAGCGACGCCGCGUGGACGAUGAAGGCCCUUGGGUCGUAAAAUCCUGUCAGAUGGAAAGAAAUGUACAGGUGUUAAUAUCGCCUGUAUUUGACGGUACCAUCAAAGGAAAGCACCGGCUAACUCCGUGCCAGCAGCCGCGGUAAUACGGAGGGUGCGAGCGUUGUUCGGAAUUACUGGGCGUAAAGCGCGCGUAGGCGGUUUGCUAAGUCAGAUGUGAAAGCCCUCGGCUUACCC
rnacentral:rRNA from 1 species